UCCCCUCUCUCAGCUCAGCCACUCGCCGCCGGCGAACACCGCACUCUCGCGGCCAGCCUAGCCCGCGCCAUCACCUUCCCCUCCCCCUCUUCGACUCCACCAUCCGUGGCCCCGAUCAAGCUCACCGACGACCUUGGAGCUCGCCGCCGCACCGCCCCGUCGCCGACUCGAACAGUGGGCGCCUGAGCUCUCUCGUCUCCUCACCCGUCAGCAGCCGCAGGAGGUCUAAGUGAGUCUUACGUUUUGUUGGAUUGCAUUGCAGGAGAUCCAAGCGAUGUCUAAAAAUAUUAACAGGAGGUUAUUCGAAGCUAACCCCAGUCAAGACCAAUCCACUGAGGAAGAGCCUCAGAGUUCAGGAGAG